GAUGAACGCUGGCGGCGUGCCUAAUACAUGCAAGUCGAGCGAACAGACGAGGAGCUUGCUCCUCUGACGUUAGCGGCGGACGGGUGAGUAACACGUGGAUAACCUACCUAUAAGACUGGGAUAACUUCGGGAAACCGGAGCUAAUACCGGAUAAUAUAUUGAACCGCAUGGUUCAAUAGUGAAAGACGGUUUUGCUGUCACUUAUAGAUGGAUCCGCGCCGCAUUAGCUAGUUGGUAAGGUAACGGCUUACCAAGGCAACGAUGCGUAGCCGACCUGAGAGGGGGUCCGGCCACCCCGGAACUGAGCCACGGUCCACACUCCUACGGGAGGCCGCAGUAGGGAAUCUUCCGCAAUGGGCGGAAGCCUGACGGAGCAACGCCGCGUGAGUUAUGAAGGUCUUCGGAUCGUAAAACUCUGUUAUUAGGGAAGAACAAAUGUGUAAGUAACUAUGCACGUCUUGACGGUACCUAAUCAGAAAGCCCCGGCUAACUACGUG
rnacentral:rRNA from 1 species